GGAAGCAGGGAAGAUGGAUAAGAGACUCCCACAAUAAUCCAGGCAAGAGAUGAAGGAGUCUUGGUCCAGGAUGGUAACAGUGGAGGGGAAUGAUUAUUUCGGACUCUGAGUCUUGGAUGGUCGUCUCUACAAGCUCCCAAAGGAAAACACCCAUGUGGUUUUUGCCUGCUUGAGCAGAGGUAUCACAUGGAAAAGUGGAUCCGACUCUACGGCCUGAUGAAAGUGACAUGGAAAAAAUAAGUUAUGAAAUAUAACUUCUCUUCCUGAACUUUUGGAAAAGGCAGAGAUAACCUUUCCAUGUGCAAGACACAUGCAGGGAGCAAGCUUCCAGAUUCUGGUUUUCUACUGGGGCCUCCUUACGUGCAAGAUAAUUAAGUGCCAAUGCGACAGAGGAACAAUUUAAAGGGUAACGGAGAUACUUAAGUCUAGGUAUAUUCAAAAUAAACAUCCUAGCCAGGUCAA